rnacentral:pre_miRNA from 1 species
CAUCUAUUCCCUCCGUUCAGAAUUACUCGUUCAAGAAAUGAAUGUAUCUAGAUGUAUUUUAGUUGUAAAUACAUUCAUUUUUGUGACAAGUAAUUCCGAACGGAGGGAGUAUUAG